GGGGUCGUAGCCUAGCCUGGUAGGGCGACGGGCUCCAAAGGUUAACUAAGCUAAACUGACUCACGGAUGAUGUAAGUUUGGAGCUGUAGUGACCCGUAGGUCGCCGGUUCAAUUCCGGUCGGCCCCA
rnacentral:tRNA from 1 species